AUUCCUCCAAGAUAAUUUUAUGGAUGAAAAUACAUUAUUUUAGUUUUUUUUUCUGAGUUUUUAAUCUGUUUUUUCCUUAUAACACUUAGUUAAAAGAAACACAAAGUUGAAACUUCUUUGUGAAUGAACAGCUCAAUGAGGUCCUGUUUCAUAUGCAGUCAUCUGAAUCUAUUUAUAAGAAAAAAAUCAGAGCUUUGGGGUGGGUAGAAAAGACUUUAGAUCCCAUGAAAAAGUUCUGUGAGUCUGGUAAGGUAGAUCCUAGCCAUGGUUAGGCAGGGCAGUUCCUGAAAAUUCUUGGUUCAUUCCUGAAACAGUUCCAUGUGCUUGGGAGCUUGGGACACCACGUCCUGCCUAAGCCAACUCUGCCAUCGCUUGAUCUUUAGGGUCCUCGGUCUUAAGGCUAUGCUCCCUCACCUACUGUUUUCAACUUCUCCCAAAUAGCUUAUUUUCUUUUGUUGUUAUCUACAGGGUGCUUCCAAACAUACAGAGGGAAUCCUGUAGGUCUGGGGAGAAGUUUUCUUUUGUCUGCAUCAAAAUAAGGAUAUAUCUGGUAAACUUUCUGUUAGGUUAGCCUUACUCUGAAAUUUUAUUCUUCCUUUUAUUUUUCCUUUUGUUUUGAUGUUAAUUACCCUUGCUUUUAUAAAACAGCAAUGCCGGCUCUUGUCUUAUUUGUAUUGUUAAUGUCCUUAAUUCAGCCGAAGGCAGGUGGCACUCUGUUCUAUAAGACAACAUAUCAUAGAGGAAAUAAUGGAAGGACCCAGAAUCGCACAAAUAGGAUGUACAAGGUUCUGUCCUUUCCUGGCCUUGAACCCUUGAGCAGGAACUGAGGUGAGAGUAAGUUUCUUUGUCCAUAGAUUAGGUUAUCAGAAAAUUAAAGCUUCUGACAUACAUAUGACAGACAGUGGGUAUCCAAAGAGUUUUGUUCUGUUGACUCUUUUUUAUACCUUACUCAGCACUCAGAGUAUUACAUGAAACACACUCAGCACACAUGCAGAAACAAAUACCACCAGUGCUUACAUUUAAACUAUCAUGUGAAGCAUGCAUCAGUACAGAGGCUUUUGUGAAACUGCAGAGUUGGGUAGGGUUUAUUCAAGAAGCUGCCUAUGGGAUUUUGAAAGGAACAUAUAGCACAUUGAGAAUUAAGAAGUCUUAGAAGGGGAAUAAUUAUUGGAGAGUGUAUAAUCCUAAAUUCUAAAAAGCAGGGGACAUGUCCCACCAGUAAUAGGAGGGAUAUCUACAUGUGGCAACAUAGGCAUUAAACAAUGUAUACCCAAGCAAUGAGAGGUAUUCCUCUUUCAGCUCUUUAAAAAUCUUUGAUUUUAUUCAGAAGAAUGUCUGUUUUCCCUACACUGCCUUUAACACUUCUCUAACAUUAAGACCCUUUAACAAAGAUCCCUCAUUGAUCAGGAGGCAAGCUCAUCUAAUUAUUUAAAAUACUGUCUUAUUUUCAUUUUCUUUAUUUUUCCUCUAACCUUCUGUUAAUAUUUUAUUCCAUUUACACUGAUGACCUACAGAUUUAAAAGUAAACUUAAAAUUUCAAAGGAAGUAAAUUUUAAAAUAUAGAGGUAAUAAUAGUAACGUCAGUAGUACGAGGUUAUGUCAAGCAUUCAUUACCCUGACCAUCCCUGGGUGAAAUCUGGAAAAUACUGGUAUAGCCCACGUGUCUCACCUAGCUUUGGAUUAGAUAAUAAAUUCUCCAUGGUUAAAAUGAAUAAUAACGAACAGGCUACUCUGUGGCUUGUCAGGAAAGCACUGGUUCAAGUGGCUACUGUGCAUUACAGAGGAAGCUUAGAGAAGGUGCAGACCUUCCUAGCACCUGAGGUGGAGGAGACCAAGCUCCUCACCAAGACUAGGACAAUAACCAGGGCACCACGUAAAACCUGUGGGCCAGCACCAAGGGAUGAGUGAGAGUCCCCUUGCAUCCAGCAAAGAUGGCUUGAAUCCCAGCCUCUCCGCUUGGCAAGACACCACGGUACCUCUCAGCUUACUGUAUACUCUUUACUCAUCUGUAAAAAAAAAUGUAUCGGAAUAAUAAGAGCUAACAGUUAUGGGGCACUUAUACAGCACCGAGCACUUUGAAGGAAUUAUCUCAACUCUCAAAAUAACAAAGUCAGCUGUCAUCCCGUAUGAUAGAUGAGCGCAUUGGGACUCCGGCUACACUGCAGCUAAACAAAUGGCGGAAUAGGAUUCAAAACCAAGCAGUCUGGGCCCAGGGGCUGGCCUCAAAGGGGGACACGUCAGCACCUUCCUCAUCCAGGGGUUCACUUGCAGCCUGGCUUCCAGAACCUUCUCCUUAGUGACGAAAGCCAAGAGCUGCACUUCCCAGGAUGCCUCGGGCUGUAGAGCUGGCCUAUCAGGAAGCCCCAGGUGGAGGAGCCGGCCAAUCAGAUAUUCCCAGGUGGAGAAGCCGGCCAAUCAGGAAGCCGGCCUUGAGUCAGCGCCUGCUCAGCGCGCCUCGCAGUCAGAGCUUCCUGACCGUUGGCCAGUGUCUCUGAAGUGAGUAAAAUAGGAUAAAUUCCUCUGGUUCAAGAAAAGGCAGUUGCAAGGAUUGAUUUAAAGAUGUUUAAGAAUAAUGUUACUGAUCAUAAACAAAAGGUGGAAGCCAUGAUUAAAGACAUUAACACAAUCUCUUUGGAGUUGAAGAAGAUGAAAGAUUUGCAUCACUUGCGGAUUCCUACAGCAGCCAAAGCCAAGGGGAAUGGGACUGCCAAGACCAGUUUGGACCAGUCAGAACGCACUGCGGGAGCUGGGGAAAGGAGCACCUCAAAUGGAACCAAGUUGUGCCACCAAGGAGAAGAAGGGAGUGGCUGUUAGUUAGGCACCAAAUAAGCUCUCCCAGUUAUUGCUUUGUGACCUUACUCUACAUUUUAAUCACCCUGUGAAGAUGGAAGACUUAAAGGAAGCAGAAAGAAGCAACUCCCUGUUUGAAGAGUCUGAAUUAUCUGAUGUAUCCCUUACUUCUAACAAAUAUUCUGUCUGACUUCUUUCUUUCUUUCUUUCUUUUUUUGGGGGGGCAGGGGGGUUUAUAGUGUGAGAAAUUUCUAUUUUUAUUGUUGAAUUAACAAAUUUGUGUGGGAAUUGAAUUUACUAAUAUACUUAAUAUACUAAAAAAAUAAUAGCUGUAAAUAAACACUUCAUGUUCUUGAA